AAACUACUCCUUCCGUUCAACAAAGAAUGUCUCAAUUUUGAUUAAAUUUGAAUACAUCUAUAUACUAAAUCAUAUCUAGAUACAUUCAAAUAUUGACAAACUUGAGACAUCUUUUAUUGGACGGAGAGAGUACAAA
rfam:Brachypodium distachyon strain Bd21 chromosome 4, whole genome shotgun sequence.